GAGACAGCAGUAGCCGCGGGAAUACGUAGGUGGCAAGCGUUGUCCGGAAUUAUUGGGCGUAAAGGGCUCGCAGGCGGUUUCUUAAGUCUGAUGUGAAAGCCCCCGGCUCAACCGGGGAGGGUCAUUGGAAACUGGGAAACUUGAGUGCAGAAGAGGAGAGUGGAAUUCCACGUGUAGCGGUGAAAUGCGUAGAGAUGUGGAGGAACACCAGUGGCGAAGGCGACUCUCUGGUCUGUAACUGACGCUGAGGAGCGAAAGCGUGGGGAGCGAACAGGAUUAGAUACCCGCGUAGUCCCUGUCUCUUAUAC
rnacentral:rRNA from 1 species